UCCUACGGGACGCAGCAGUGGGGGAUAUUGCACAAUGGGGGGAACCCUGAUGCAGCGACGCCGCGUGGGUGAAGGAGCGUUUCGGCGCGUAAAGCCCUAUCGGCAGGGAAGAAGAUGACGGUACCUGACCAAGAAGCCCCGGCUAACUACGUGCCAGCAGCCGCGGUAAUACGUAGGGGGCAAGCGUUAUCCGGAUUUACUGGGUGUAAAGGGAGCGUAGACGGCAGUGCAAGUCUGGAGUGAAAGGCGGGGGCUCAACCCCCGGACUGCUCUGGAAACUGUACGGCUGGAGGGCAGGAGAGGUA
rnacentral:rRNA from 1 species